UUGUCCCAACACGAAGGACAUAGCCAUGUCAGCUGUCCUGCUUGGGCAUCUUCUGCUGGAAAAGAGAUGAAGAGAAGUGAAGAGAAUACUGUGAUGUGACUGGGUGUAAAGUUACCCUUGAGUGGAACUCAUUUCUUGGUUUGUCCUUUGCUGUAGUAAUACUACUACUCAUCAUUCAGAUCCUUUGUUUGACUGAUGGGGAUUAAAGUGUAGUGCAGUAAAAUUCUCAGUGUCUCUCUUUGUCCAUUUUUUUUUAGAUGCCUUGCGAGCAGUAGGAGCAGAGAAAAAGGAAGAGUCUGAUUCUCCGUGGGAUUCUGAGCCUGGUUCUGAUAGUCCAAGGAUGGCAUCUCUUGCUGUGUCUCUCCCAGCUGCAGAUGAACAUGGAGUAAGCUCGCUGAGUGUUUCAUGGGAGCACAAUGAGGAUGCCCAACCCGCAGUAGGAGCAGAGAAAGAGAAAGAGUCUGAUUCUCCCUGGGAUUCUGAGGUACUUUCUGUGAAAUGUGCAUCUCCCCAGUCUGGGGAAGGGCCAAUUGACAAAUACAUGAGAGCUUGUCUUUGAGUUGCCCCCUGUCCCUGAUGAGGGUCAUAUACCCCAUGUUGCUGCUGCUCCGUGUGUAACUGAGGGUCCUUUAAAUACUUGUAGCGUAGGUUCUCUAUUGCGAUAAUACUGGGACAGAGUUAGGUCUAACUGCUUAUAUAGGUGUCCUGGCUGCAGGCUUUUGAGUUGAUUUUCUAGCUCAGUAUUGAUACAGCACAGUUUAUUGCUGCUUGAGAAUAUAUGAUCUCCACAAGGGGGUUUCUUUGAGUACUGUAUUUUUAUCUCUAUAUGGUUCUGUUCUGCUGAUCCAGUGAGAAUUAAAACGAUGCCCCAAGUUUGAGCAACCCAGACAUUUAGGUUUUUCUGUAUAGAACCUCUGUCUUCUCUAACAAACUUAAUCCGAUUUUUCAAAAUCAUGUUCAGCAGACACUAAUUGUGCUUGCUGAGAUUAUUCUUUCUGUCAAGGAAAUAUCAUUCAAUUCUCAAGAUGAGAGUGAGCAGGGUCUGUAGCUACGUCCCCUCUAGCCUUUGUUGUGGGUAAAAAAACUAAUUCCCCACUCCUUUCUUUAAAAUACAAGAUUUUCUAGAUAGCUUUAAUCGCUAUUAGCUUUGCCUUGUUAGCCUUUAAGCAAAGCAAAUCUUACUUGCUUUUGCAACGUAGUGAUGCACUCACUCAACAUUGUGGGACAUGUGCCCCAGCAACAUAAGCUGAAAUUUGAAUGCCACGCACAAAUUUAAUGGAAAUGUUCAAUCAACACAGAGCUGCAGAUUCUUGUUCACAAUCGACAUCUUGAUUUCCUGUGUUAAUUUCUUGUGUGCCCUCCUCUGAUUUGCCAGCCUCAAUCCAACAAUUAUGGAAAGUUUAAAGACUAGUGGU
rnacentral:lncRNA from 1 species